CAAAUAAAACUAAGAGAGGCAGCAGGGAGCAGGCCACACCUGGAUGGGUGAACUGCCGGCAGUGGGCAGAGAGAACCUGAAGGAGAACCAGCAGAUCUACAAGACAGAUCACCAAGGAACAUGGCCUGCAGCCCCAGGAUGGGAAGAAGGUUGAAAAUAGACCAGUUUAAAACAAACUACUCAGGAAUGAGGGCUAAUAAAGUCGAAGGAAGGAGCUGGCAUUUGCAAGAACAUUGCAGGAAGAGUGAGAUCAAGGAGACAGGAGGGAACUGCCCAAGGCCUGAGGUGGACAGAGGUGGCCCCUCAGCAAACUGGUCUGGACCGCACGCCUCCAUAUGGCCUACACCAAGACUUCCUACUUCCCUCCUGAAAUCCCUUCUGUGAAGAGAGAUUUAUCAAGACGAUGUGAGGCACCUGUGAGUUCUGGCAGCGCAUCCCUGUGGCUUUCCCAUGCUCCUGCCUCAUGCGUACUGAAGUAAACUCUGAGACGUGAUUGAUGCCAGUGACCCCUUCCCCACAGGAUGGACUUCAGCACUCCAAUACCGCUAACAACAUAUCAUUAGCAUUCCUGAGAGUGAUAAUUCUAGCUGUAUCCUGAGUGAAUUCUCACGGUGACUGCGACUGUGUCUACAGCAGAAUCCUCAUUUCCAGAGAUGUUUGGGUUAUGCGUCUGUCAGGGUUUAUUUCCUAACCUACAAAGCCGACACUCCCGGGGAAGGUAUCUUCUUUUGAUAUUGCUUUUGAUAGAAAGUCGGACUUAUACUAUUUCCAAAGAAAUAUAAAAAGGCAGGCAAUUCAUGAUUUCAAGGAUAGCAGAUCCGUGGCUACCUUGUUUUUAAAAUCCCUUGAUCAGUUUCAUGAUGACCUUUUGUGGAUGGGAUCCUGGAGAAUUCUCUGCCUUUUUGGUGGUAUUCAGGGAGUGUUGGUUCCAACAAGAUGAAUCAACAUUGGCCUCCUUGUGUCCUGCCCUAUCCCCCUCCCUCCCUCCCAUGCAGCAAUGGCACUCCAAAUUUUAUUUUUUUUAUGCUGGUUAGACACAUUCCCUUCACCUCCCUUCCCAUCCACCAUAAUAGAAUGCUCUAGCCAUGUGCCUUGAUGUCGAAGGUCAGACGGGACACACCUGUUGGACACAUCAGUCUUGCCAAAUACGAACCACAGAGGAAAACGAAGAAGACAGAUAGCAAACUGUUCCCUGGUAUAAGGAAGGGCUGUCUUAGCUUCAGACUGAGAGGUCAAGGAACUCGUCAUUGGAAGCUAAGCAGUCCUUCACAAGAAUGUGUGCUUGAGUGUCAGAUAUGGUACAUCCAUUCGGAGGCGACACAGCUAUGAGCCAUGGGGGCGGGGGGACACCGCAAGACCCAAAAUAAUAAUUUCACUGUGAAUCACGGGAAGCUUCGCUCUCGAAAUAAAAUCUUCCCAGCCGUGAUGUCAUAUAAUUACUAAUUAAAGCAAUUAUGUCCUCA
rnacentral:sRNA from 1 species